rnacentral:misc_RNA from 1 species
UAGGUGAACCUGCGGAAGGAUCAUUAUCGAAUUAUAAGCAAAGGUUGUUGCUGGCCUCCUCGGGGGGCAUGUGCACGCCCGAGCUCUUAAUCCACUUACACCUGUGAACCCAAAAGUGGGGGUCGUCCCUUGGGGUGAUUCUCAUGUCUUUCAUAUACUCUUAUGCAUGUCUCGGAAUGUCUUUAUGUUGCCUAAGCGCAAUUAUAAUACAACUUUCAACAACGGAUCUCUUGGCUCUCGCAUCGAUGAAGAACGCAGCGAAAUGCGAUAAGUAAUGUGAAUUGCAGAUUUUCAGUGAAUCAUCGAAUCUUUGAACGCACCUUGCGCUCCUUGGUAUUCCGAGGAGCAUGCCUGUUUGAGUGUCAUUAAAUUCUCAACUUCACUGAUUUGCUUCGAGUGAAGCUUGGACUUUGGAGCGUGCUGGCCCUCGAUUGGGUCGGCUCCUCUUUAAAUGCAGCAGCGGAGUCUUCUUUGACUUUUGUGCCAUCGGUGUGAUAAUCAUGUUGCCCCGUGGGCCCUGGGUCUCAGUCCGCUUACAAUCGUCUUCGGACAGCUUAUGAAACGCUUGACCUCAAAUCAGGUAGGACUACCCGCUGAACUUAAGCAUAUCAAUAAGCGGAGGAAAAGAAACUAACAAGGAUUCCCCUAGUAACUGCGAGUGAAGCGGGAAAAGCUCAAAUUUAAAAUCUGGCGGUCCCUGGCCGUCCGAGUUGUAAUCUGGAGAAGCGUUUUCUGCGUUGGACCGUGUACAAGUUUUCUGGAACGAAACGUCAUAGAGGGUGAGAAUCCCGUCUUUGACACGGACCGCCAAUGCUCUGUGAUACGCUCUCGAAGAGUCGAGUUGUUUGGGAAUGCAGCUCAAAAUGGGUGGUAAAUUCCAUCUAAAGCUAAAUAUUGGCGAGAGACCGAUAGCGAACAAGUACCGUGAGGGAAAGAUGAAAAGCACUUUGGAAAGAGAGUUAAACAGUACGUGAAAUUGUUGA